AGCUCACAGGCCAUAGGUCGAAUUAGAGCUACAGCUGCUGGCCUACACCACAGCCACAGUAAUGCCAGAUCCGAGUGCGUCUGUGACCUACACUACAGCUCAUGGCAAUGCAGGAUUCCCAGCCCACUGAGUGAGGCCGGGGAUCGAACCUGCAUCCUCAUGGGUACUGUUCAGGUUUGUUUCUGUUGCACCACAACAGAAACCCUCAGGACUCCAUCUUUUAAUUGGAGGUUUGCACCCAUUCAUUAUCUUCAUCCAUUUACCCCACGCGCUCCACCUCACGCCCAGCCUGUGGCAACCACCAUCUGUUCUGUUUCUUUGGGUUCAGUUUUCUUUGAUUUGUCUUUUGUCUUAUUUCACUUAACAUAAUGCCCUCUAGGUUGAUUUAUUUUGUGGCAAGAUUUCCCUAUUUAUGGCCGAAUGCUAUCCCAUUGUGUAUAUAUGCCACAUUUUCUUUAUCCAUUUGUCUGCUGGUGGACACUUAGGUUCCAUGUCUUGGCUGUUCCAUGACAUGCUGCAGUGAAAAUAAAGGUGCACAUAUCUUUUCAGAUUAAUAUUUUAGUAUUUUUUAGUAUUUUUUGGAUAAAUACCCAGAAGUGAAAUUGCUGAAUCAUAUAGUGGUUCAAUUCUUAAUUUUUUCUUCCUUUUGACUGCACCCAUCAUGGCAUAAAGAAGUUCCUGGGCCAGGGAUCAGAUUUGAGCUGGAGCUGUGACCUGUGCUGCAGCGGCAGCAAUGCUGGAUCCUUAACCCACUGCACCAGGCUUGGGCUCAAACCAGUGCCUCCAUAGAGGUAAGCCAGAUCAUUAAUCCACUGUGCCACAGCAGGAACUCCACUAUUCUUAAGUUUUUGAGGAGCCUCCAUACCGUUUUCAUACUCGCUGUACAAACUUAAAUUCCUACUAACAGUGCAGAGGAUUCCCUUUCAUGUACACAUGUUCCUACACUUAUCUUCUUACCUUUUUCAUAAUAGUCAUUCUUAACAGGUGAGAGGUAGAUAUCUCAUUGUGGUUUUUGUUUUUUUUUCUUUUUAUUGAGUUACAGUUGAUAAAAUACUGAUUUUUGGUAUAUAAUACAGUGAUGGAGUAUUUUUAUACGGUAUACUCCAUUUAAAGUUAUAAAACAUGGGCUGUGUUCCCUGAGAUGUACAUUACAUCCCUGCAUCUUACUUCGUACUUAGUAGUGUAUACUUCUUAAUCCCCUUCCACUCUGUUGCCAUACCCCCCACCUGUCUCCCCACGGAUAACCACUAGUUUGUUCUCUGUGAGUCUGUUUCUGUUGUGCUGUAUUCAUUGAUUAAUUUUUUAAAUUCCACAUAUAAGUGAACACAUACAGUAUUUGUCUUGAUCUGAUUUCCUUCAUUAAGCAUAAUACUCUCUCUCUCUGCCAUUUGCAACAAUAUGGAUGGACCUGGACUUUUUUUUGUGGCCAACGUGUGAUCUAUCCUGGGCACCGUUUCAUGUGCACAUGAAAAGAAUAUGUAUUGUGUUAUUUUUGGAGGUACCUAUUAAGUCCAACUGAUCUAAUAUGUCAUUAAAGACCCCUGAUUUUCUGCUCGGAUGAUCUGUCCAUAGAUAGGAGUGGGGUGUUCAAGUUCCCUACUGUGAUUGUGCUUUUGUCAGUUUCUCCCUUUAUGUCAGUUAAUGUUUGCUUUAUAUAUGUAGGUACUCCUAUAUUAAAUGUGUAUAUGUUUAAGAAUGCUAUAUUCUUUCUUGCAUUGACCCCUUUAUCAUUAUAUAAUGCCCUUUGUCUUUUGUUACAACCAUUGAAAGUCCACUUUAUCUAAUGACUGUUGCAAACCCAGCUUGCUUUUUUUUUCCAAUUGUAUGAAAUACCUUUUUCUACCCCCUCACUUUCACUCUGUCUUUAGCUCUUAAGUGAGUCUUCUGUAGGGAGAACAUAGAUGGAUCUUGUUAUUCUCAUCCAGUCAGUCUCCCUAUAUAUUUUGAUUGGAGCAUUUAGUCCAGAGACAUUUUAAGUGAUUAUUGAUUGGUAUAUACUUAUUGCCAUUUUUCUGAUUGUUUUUGUAGUUCUUCUCUGUUCUUUAUUCUCUUCCCUUGUGGUUAGAUGAUUUUCCUUAAUAUUAUGUUUGCAUUCCUUUUUCUUGUGUAUCUUAUAGUUUUUGACUUGUGGUUAACAUAGGAUUCAUAUAUGUUGACCUAUAGCUAUAUCUACUUGUUUUAAACUUACGGUUAUUUAAGUUCAAACACUAAGAGAAUCUAAAAGAUCUACAUUUUUACUCCCCUCCCAUGUUUUUGAUGUCAUAUUUUACAUCUCAUGUUUAUCCUUUAACUGUUUAUUGUAGUUAUAUUUUUGUCUUUUUAUACUAGUUUAUUUAUACUAGUUUUUACUUAAAUGGUUGAUCCACAGCCUUUACUAUAUAUUUGCCUCUACUGAUAGAAUUUUCCUUUCCUAUAAUUUCUUAUUUUAGCCUUUUCUUUUUCACUUAGAGAAGACUCUUUAAUACUUCUUGUAAAGUCAGUUUAGUAUUCGUGAACCUUCUUAGUUUUUGCUUGUCUGAGAAGCUCUUUAUCUCCUUUAAUUCUGAAUGAUUGAUAAAUUGCUGGAUAGAGUAGGUUUUCCCCUCUCGGCACCGCUAAAGUUUCUUCAGAAAAAAACCACAUGAUAGUUUUACAUGGUUUUCGUAUACAUAAGUUUUUCUCUUGCUGCCUUUAAAAUUCUCACUUUAACUUUGGCCAUUUUAAUUCUGUCUUGGUGUGGGUGUCUUUGCAUUCAUCUUAUUUGAGACUCUGUACUUUUGUACCUGGAAAUCUGUUUCCUCUUUCAGGUUUGUGAGGUUUUCAGUUUAUAAUAUCAUCCAGUAAAAUUUCAAACCCUUCUCUCUCUUUUCCUUCUGGGACCCCUAUAAUGCAAAUAAUACAGUUGAAGCUGUCUCACAGGUCCCUUAAACUAUUCUUAUUUUUUUAAAUUUGAUUUUCUUUUUGCCGUUCUGACAGGGUUGAUUUCCAUUAUUGUCUUCCAGAUUCCUUAUUUGUUCUUCUUUAUCACCCAAUUUGCUGUUAAUUCCUACUGUGUUUUCUUCUUCAGCUCUGUUUUUUUUUUUAAUAAUUUCUAGUUCUUCAUUGAAAUUCUCAAUUAACAGUGAUGUGUUAAUCUAUUCUUUCCCCAAAUUCAGUUAGCAUACUUAUUAUUGCUUUGAACUACCUAUCAGGUAGAUUAUUUCUCUCUUUCAUUAGGGUUUUUUCCCACAGCCUUUUUCUUAUUCUUUCAUUUGAAAAGUAUUCUUCCAUUUUUUCAUUUUGUUAAGUUUUCAUGUCUCUCUGAAAGUAAGGGAUGUCAUUACCUAUCCUCAUCUUGACGGUGUGACCUUGUGUGAGAUCAUCCCUGUGUAGCCUGCAUGUGCCCAGCAGAUGUGCUGGGAGCCUGAUCUAAAGUGAACAUGGGCUGCAUCUUCUCCAUGGGUAUGCUGGCAGCCAUGACCCUAAUGGGAGGUAGGGCUGGAGUUGGAGGGCUAGAGCCAAAGUCAGGUGCAAGCCAGGGUUUCUCUGUCCAUCGUUGUUAAUAGCUGUGUCAGAUAAGGGCUCAGGAGGCCGGAGCAGGAACCCUGAGGGAGUUGGGUUUCUCCUGGUAUCGUGGUAGUUUCCUUGGCUAGGGUUGUGACCGGGGCCUGAGGGCUUGGGGCUGUAAGUCUGUUCUGGUUUCACUUUUUCACCCCGUGUGUGUGCCUUGGUUAGAGGCUGGUUUGGGAGCAGCGGAGUUUUGUGCCCACCUCUUAGCUGGCCUGACCCCCUACCCCCUCUUGCCAUGGAUGGCCAUACCCUCGAGCUAGCCUUGCUCCUUCCAAGUGUCUGCAGGGAUACAUGUUUUGAUGGUGGUCGUCUCCACACUCUGGAGCUAGUUUUGCUUCUGAGUGUGUGCACCAAGGCGCCUGGCUGGCAGUGGCUGUCUUCGGCCUGUAAGAGGCAGGGCUGACAUUGAUGAGCUCUGGUUCCUCCAGUGUGCACACUUGUUGGCAAUAGCAGGCUUUGCUUUAGUGGGCAUGCUAAGGCAAGAGGGGCUGGAAGAGAGGCCUGGUAUAGGCUAGGGGACAUGCUGGAGGGAUCCUAGCAAGCCAGCCAGGACCCCGUAGGCAGUUUUCAAUCUGCUGCCUUUGUGCUGUGACUGGGAGUAAGCAGUGCUCUUGUGCACAUGCUCUUCAAGAGCAGAGUCUUGGUCUCUUAUACCCCCAUAAGCACCAGUGGUUUUCAGAGCAGCACAGGGGGCUCUUUUCCCCACAGCUAGAUGCCCAGGAUUGAGGGUCUACCUAAUAGAGGGCCACACUUCUCCCUAGGGAGUUCCCAUUGCUGGUGAUAUCUACCUCCCCUUCUGGGUCCCCCAGCAUCUGUCCAGGUCCUGACCAGAUUGCUUCUCCCUGCCACUCCCCCUCAGACAACGUGUGGGUCUUUCUUUACAACCGUAGUUAUAGAAGGGCUGUUCUCCCAGUGUCCGGGUCAUUUCCAGCAAGAGUUGCUUCCCAUGUAGUUUUUGAUUUGUUUGUGAAAGGAGGGUGGGCUUUGCAGCCCUGUCUCACUGUGGCUUUGUUUGCAUUUCCCUGAUAAUUAGUGAUGUUGUCCACACUUUCAUGUACCUGCGGUAAUUUGAAUCUCUUUUUGAAGAAAUGGCUAUUCAGGUCUUAGGCCCAUUUUUAAUUGGAUUAUUUCACCUAUACUUUUUUUUUUUUUUUUUUGCCAUUGAGUUAUUAGUUCUUUAUGUAUAUUGGAUAUUAACUGCUUAUCAGAUAUAUGGUUUGCAAAUUUUUCUCCCAUUUCAUAUGUUGCAUUUUCAUUUUAUUGUUUCUUUCACUGUGCAGAAGCUUUUUAGUUUGUUGUAGUUCCACUUACUUUUUGCUUUUAUUGUUUGUACUGUAGUUGUCAUCUCCAUUAGGUUAUUAUUGCCAAGACCAAUGUCAAGGAGAUUUUCCCCCCUUUGUUUUCUUCUAGGAAUUUUAUGGUUUAAGGUCUUAAAUUUAAGUUUUAGUCCAUUUCAAGUUCACUUUUGAGUGGUGGAAAUAGUUCAUUUUCAUUCUUUAGCCUGUGAAUAUGCAGUAUUUUCAGCAUGAUUGGAGAAAUUUAUCUUUUCUGUAUUUAAUUGACAAUAUAUGUAAUGACUUAUUUCUGGGCUCUUGAUUAUGUUCCAUUGGUCUCUGAGUCUUUGUGCCAGUAUGAUCUUUGGAAUACUAUAGCUUUGUGGUAUAUUUUGAAAUCAGGAAGUAAUGAUACUUCCAGCUUUAUUCUUCUUCCACAGGAUUGCUUUGGCUAUUGAGAAUCUUUUGUGGUUCCAGAAGAAUUUUAGGAUUUUCAUUUUCUGCAGAAAAUGCCAUUGAAAUCUUGAUAGAGAUUGCAUUGAAUCUAUAGAUUACUUUGGGUCGUCAGGACAUUUUAACAAUAUUCUUUUAAUCCAUAAACAUAAAAUAUCUUUUAUUUAUGUAUGUUAUUUUCAGUUUCUUUCAUCAAGAUAUUGUAGUUUUCAGUGUAUGGAUCUUUUACUUCCUUGUUAAAUUUAUUGCAAAAUAUUUCAUGUUUUUCAUGCUAUUGUAAAUGAGUUUCUUUAAUUUUUGGAAAUUUGUUGUUAAUGACUAGAAAUGCAACUGAUUUUUAUAUGUUGAUUAUAUAUAUAUAUAUCUUGUAAGUUUACUGAAUUCACUUAUUUUUGGAUUAUUUAGACUUUCUAAAUAUAAGAUCAUGUCAUCU
rnacentral:lncRNA from 1 species